rnacentral:misc_RNA from 1 species
UUAACUAUUAUAUAGUACUCAGACGACACUAAUAAACAAGAGUUUGUGGUCCUCUGGCGAGCGCACACCAACAAGUGUCGGUGGCCGAAGCGGCUCGCCAAAGCAACAAAGGUUUUAAUAACAUAGGGUUGGAGAGUCACCCGUGAGGGCGAUGUUCUCUGUAAUGAUCCCUCCGCAGGUUCACCUACGGAGA